rnacentral:snoRNA from 1 species
ACCCUCCAGAUUCCAUGCCCAUCGGAUGGAAGCUCUGGGCUGGGUGGUUAGAAAAGGAAGAAUAGUCUAAUUGAAACAGAUUUAAGUUUUUAUGUGACACACGACCCAAUUUCAAGCAAAA